UAACACGUAGGUGGCAAGCGUUAUCCGGAAUUACUGGGCGUAAAGGGUCCGCAGGUGGGAUGGUCAGUCCGAUGUGACAGUACCCGGCUUAACUGGGUGAGGCCAUUGGAAACUGCCAUUCUUGAGUCACGGAGAGGGAAGCGGAAUUCCGGGUGUAGUGGUGGAAUGCGUAGAGAUCCGGAGGAACUCCAAAGGCGCAAGCAGCUUCCUGGCCGAGGACUGACACUGAGGGACGAAAGCGUGGGGAGCAAACAGGAUUAGAUACCCUGGUAGUCCACGCUGUAAACGAUGUAUGCUCGGCUUCGGGGGUCUAGACCCCCUCGGGGCCUCAGCCAACGCGCAAGCAUACCGCCUGGGAAGUACGGCCGCAAGGCUA
rnacentral:rRNA from 1 species